UAUUUUUCACCAUAUUAAUUAACUACACAGUUCGGUGGGUUUGAAAGUACUGCAAAUGGUUUCAGAGGUGAUGGAUACAUAGUCCAUAUUUUUGUUUGUCCUUGUGUAAUUUAAAAAAGGCACUGGGAAGGAUUAUUAGUUCACUAGUUCACAAUUACUGUCAAUGAAAAAUGAGACAGACUGCAAAAGUUAUGGAUGUAGAACAUAAGUUGACUUUCUCAUUUAGAACAAAAUUAGUCACAUCUUGCAAACCAAUAGGAAUCUGUUUAAUAUUGAAAAAUAUUUUAUAAUCGUUUGGACCUAGACUGUUUUCACGAUCACUCUCUUUAAUUUGGUGAACACAAACAUUUAUUUGUUUAGGAGGUAGAAUCUACCCCAACUGAAAAAAUUAUGCCAAUGUAUAACUUCAGUCAAAAUUCAUUAAAAUGUCUUUCUGAUAAAGCUUUUAUUAUUUUUCCUUUUUUCUUAUCGAAGAUAUUUAUUGAAUACAAAAAGAUAUUCUACUUUAAGUUAUAAGAACAACAUUAUUUGAACAAUGACAUAUUAACUCUUUCUGGGGCCUCUAGUUUUUGGUGCAUAUGUACUUGUCAGGUACAAAAUUAAAAUUGAA
rnacentral:lncRNA from 1 species